UGGGGGAUAUUGCACAAUGGGCGAAAGCCUGAUGCAGCGACGCCGCGUGGGGGAUGAAGGCCUUCGGGUUGUAAACUUCUUUUGCUCUGAACAAGGCAUGCCUUUGGGGUGUGUUGAGUGUAGGGGUUGAUUAGCGCCGGCUAACUACGUGCCAGCAGCCGCGGUAAUACGUAGGGCGCGAGCGUCGUCCGGAAUUAUUGGGCGUAAAGGGCUUGUAGGUGGCUGGUUGCGUCUGUCGUGAAAGCUCAUGGCUUAACUGUGGGUUUGCGGUGGGUACGGGCUGGCUUGAGUGCAGUAGGGGAGGCUGGAAUUCCUGGUGUAGCGGUGGAAUGCGCAGAUAUCAGGAGGAAUACCGGUGGCGAAGGCGGGUCUCUGGGCUGUUACUGACGCUGAGGAGCGAAAGCGUGGGGAGCGAACAGG
rnacentral:rRNA from 1 species